rnacentral:rRNA from 1 species
CUUGGUCAUUUAGAGGAAGUAAAGGUCGUAACAAGGUUUCCGUAGGUGAACCUGCGGAAGGAUCAUAUGAAUAAGCAGCUGCGGUUGCAGAGAUAGUGAAAGGAGGUGGAGGCUACGGCCGCAAACAGAAUGAUAGUGAUAAGCAAACCAUAACUUUUGACAAUGGAUCACUCGGCUCUCAUAUCGAUGAAGAACGCGGCACAAUGCGAUAACUAAUGAGUUUUGCACAGUCAAGCGAAUCAUCAAGUCUUUGAACGCACAUUGCACCUCUGUAAAAGGAGGUAUGCUUGGAAGAGCAAACGACCCCAGACCACACAGUCCGCGUAAGCGGGAGAUGAGCUGACCGAAAGGCAGCUUCAAAACACGCACUCUGGUGACCAAAGCGAUCUAUCAAUUGCCUAGGCCCGCUAGAGAGCGCCCUUAUGGUCGUCAUAUCUUCUCAAGCAAGGUUACCCGCUGAAUUUAAGCAUAUCAAUAAGCGGAGGA